rnacentral:rRNA from 1 species
CACCUUUCGGGGUGAGUGGCAGACGGGUGAGUAACGCGUGGGAACGUGCCCUUCAGUUCGGAAUAACCCAGGGAAACUUGGGCUAAUACCGGAUACGUGCGAGAGCAGAAAGAUUUAUCGCUGAAGGAUCGGCCCGCGUCUGGUUAGCUAGUUGGUGGGGUAAUGGCCCACCAAGGCGACGAUCAGUAGCUGGUCUGAGAGGAUGAUCAGCCACAUUGGGACUGAGACACGGCCCAAACUCCUACGGGAGGCAGCAGUGGGGAAUAUUGGACAAUGGGCGCAAGCCUGAUCCAGCCAUGCCGCGUGAGUGAUGAAGGCCUUAGGGUUGUAAAGCUCUUUCAGCGGGGACGAUAAUGACGGUACCCGCAGAAGAAGCCCCGGCUAACUUCGUGCCAGCAGCCGCGGUAAUACGAAGGGGGCUAGCGUUG